GAGUGUUGACAGCAAAACAAGAUAAAAUGCAGGAUGAUGGAUCACCUAAUCAAUGCGUUUGGCCCCUCUUAGUGGGCUUUUUCAAGAUAGGUGUUAAGUGUGCUAAUCUGCAGUUAAAUACCUUUGCCGGGAAAAACACAUUUGAAUUUUUGAAGAAACAUGCAUUUUUAUACACAACAAAUCUUAGAACAGGAAAAAUGUCCUCAUAAUGAUAGAUUGUGGAUUAUACAUCCUCCUGAAUGCAGCAAUACAUAAAAACAAUUUGUGCAUACUGGAACAAUUUAUACACAAUAAAA